rnacentral:lncRNA from 1 species
UUUUCCUUUUAAGAAUAAACCUUCUUCUGCUCAUUCUUCUCCUUCAUCUUUUCCUUUUAUUCCUCCUGCUGAGCAUUCCACUGACACAAAUUUUCCUAUACAUGCUUCCUCUCCUUCUUCCCCUACAUCUGAUCCAGCCCCUAAUUCUACUAUUCCUGAUUUUACUGAUACUGAUCCAGCUCCCCUUUCUUCUUUCAAUCAUGGUAUCUCUCAUCCUAUUUUACCUUCUUCCCAACCUCUUCCUGCUCCUAGAAAAUCCACUAGACAGCAUAAUCCUCCAUCCUAUCUUAAGGAUUAUGUCUUCCAACUCCCUGCUUUUUCUGGAUCCUCUUUUUCUACUUUGGAAUCUGAACCUUUAUAUUACUCUCAAGCUGCAUCUAUUCCAGCACGGCAGGAUGCCAUGAGACAGGAGUUUGAUGCUUUGGAAGCAAACCAUACCUGGGAUGUUGUUCNNNNNNNNNNNNNNNNNNNNNNNNNNNNNNNNNNNNNNNNNNNNNNNNNNNNNNNNNUACCUGGGAUGUUGUUCCUCUUCCUCCUGGUAAGAAACCCAUUGGCUGUAAAUGGGUCUAUAAAAUCAAAUACAAGGCUGAUGGUACUGUUGAAAGGUACAAAGCUAGGCUUGUUAUUAGGGGUGGUACUCAAGUUGAAGGGAUUGAUUUUACUGACACCUUUUCUCCUGUGAUUAAAAUGACCACUGUGAAAUGUCUCAUUUCUGUGGCUGUGAAGAAUCAUUGGCCUCUGUUUCAACUUGAUGUUAAUAAUGCUUUUCUACAUUGUGAUUUGGAGGAGGAAGUCUAUAUGAAACUUCCCCCAGGUUUGACAGUCUCUGCUCCUUUUUCUGGUUCUGUUUCUUCUACAUCUUCUACUCCUUCUCCUCUGGUUUGUAAGCUCAAGAAAUCCCUAUAUGGGCUGAGACAAGCAUCCAGACAAUGGUAUGCCAAAUUGUCUUCUGCUCUUUACUCCAGAGGGUACACACAUUAUUUGAAUGACUAUUCUCUCUUCAUCAAAGGUAAACCUAGGGCCCUUGUGGUUGUGGCAGUCUAUGUGGAUGAUAUAAUUAUUACUGGGGAUGACAGUGAUGAAAUUACUGCCCUUAAACUAUUUCUGGAUGAUCAGUUUAAAAUCAAAGACCUAGGAUCUUUGCAUUAUUUUUUGGGCCUUGAAAUGUCAGUUGUUCCUGGUGGAAUGAUCCUUAAUCAACAUAAGUAUAUUUCUGAUUUACUGCAUCAGUUUGAUUGUGCAUAUGUAUCCUCUGUUAUUUGUCCUUUGGAUAUUAAUGUCAAACUUCAUGCUGAUUCUGGUGACCUUUUAUCCUCUCCUGAUCAAUAUAGGAGUCUUGUUGGUAAGCUGUUAUUUCUGACUCAUACUAGGCCUGACAUAUGCUUUGCUGUUCAACAUCUGAGUCAAUAGGAGUCUUAUUGGUAAGAUGUUAUUUCUGACUCAUAUUAGGCCUGACAUAUGCAUUGUUGUUCAACAUCUGAGUCAAUUCCUAAAAUGCCCCAGACUUCCCCAUAUGACUGCUGCCUACAUGUUUUGAGAUACCUUAAAGGCACUCCUUCUAUGGGUCUCUUUUAUUCUGCCAGUGAUGAUUUCUCUGUUGUUGGUUAUUUUGAUAGUGACUGGGCUGCAUGCCCUGAUACUAGGAGAUCUGUUACUGGAUUUUGUGUGCUAUUGGGUGGUUGCCUGAUUAGUUGGAAAUCUAAGAAUACUAGGAGAUCUGUUACUGGAUUUUGUGUGCUAUUGGGUGGUUGCCUGAUUAGAUGGAAAUCUAAGAAGCAACCUGUUGUUUCUUUGUCUUCUGCUGAGGUAGAAUAUAGAGCCCUCAGCAAAGUUGUUGCUGAAUUAUCUUGGCUGUCUCGUUUAUUGGUUGAUCUUGGAGUAUCUGUUUCUCUUCCAUUUUCUGUAUUGUGACAGCCAGGCUGCUGUCCAUAUAGCUAACAAUUCUGUUUUCCAUGAGCGUACCAAACACAUCGGGGUGGACUGUCAUUUUGUUCGGGAACAGCUACAGAAUGGUUUUCUCCAGUUAUUUCAUGUUCCUACUUCUCGUCAAUUGGCUGACCUGCUCACUAAGCCAUUACCUGGAACUGUGCUUCAUCCGCUUUUAUCCAAGUUGCAGGUGGUUUCCCCCUCCAACUUGAGGGGGGGUGUUGAGAUGAACGACUAUAUGGCUUCUAAGCCCAAACAUUGAUAGAUAUAGAGCUGUAUAUCCAUUGUAUAUUCCCUGUAUUUUAUGUAUACUGAGAGUUUGGGCCACACCUAUUCUGAUCCCAAUUUUCAUUUUAUAGUUUCUUUAUACUUGGGCCGGAUGACCCGACCCAAGUCUGGUGUAAUAAUAUGUAUGUGUAUAUAUUUGUACAAAG